UACGUACUCCCUCCGUUCAGAAAUACUUGUCGGAGAAAUGGAUGUAUCUAGAUGUAUUUUAGUUUAAAUACAUCCAUUUUUGCGACAAGUAAUUCUGGACAGAGGGAGUAUUUG
rnacentral:pre_miRNA from 1 species